AAGGUUGUAGCUCAGUUGGUAGCUCCCGAAAGUGAAACUUUUGGGAGCCGAAGAAGAGCAUUAGCUUCCCAAGCUAAGGGUCACGGGUUCGAGUCCCGCUUACC
rnacentral:tRNA from 1 species